rnacentral:tRNA from 1 species
GGGCCUUUAGCUCAGCUGGUAGAGCGCCACGUUUACACCGUGGAUGUCAGUCCCGUCGAUCGCGCUCCG